AGGAUCUUAAGUUAAGAAAACUAAUAACCUUCAAAGUUGUUUAUAUGAGCUAAAUCUCUUAGAUUUUA
rnacentral:tRNA from 1 species